AUGGCGUGGACGCGCUACCACGCCUCCUCGACGCAUCCUCCUUCAAUCCCCGCUCGCCGUCGUCCCAAGUCCGGCGCCGACGAUGCCCCCUUUCCUCCAUGGGUCCUGCUCGACGACCGCGCAUACCUCGCCGGCGAAUCCAACCACACCACGGCCGUCUCCCGCACAAGGCACGGCGACCAGAUCCAAGCCACCUUCUUCCUCGCCGACCCGCCGCUCGUCUCCUACUUCGCCGUCUCGUGCGCCGCCGAGCUUGGCUGCGAGCCCAGGGUCCUCUACACAGAGGCCAACCUCGUCCUCCUCGUCUCGGUGCCCGGCGACCCCCGCAACGCCAUCGACCCCCGGAAGAACGACUUCUACGUCUACGAGGUGGACGACGACGCCGGCGCCGGCGGCGGCCCUCCCAAGGCCACACUGACGCUGCUUCCGCACCCCCCGCCCGACUUGUUCCCCUUCCCUCGGGACAGAUGCUACUACUUCCAUGACUGCCAGGUAGGACUCCUGCGCCACCGCAGGAACUCCGACGGCGGCGGCGGCGGCGGCUUUUAUCUUCGCCAGCACCGUCCCAGAGCCUAUGACGCCUACAUCGUCGCCGCGCUCUGUACACGGCUAACCUUCCCGGAGACGUUAGGCCUUUACACCUACGUCUCCGACACCGAGGUGUGGAGCAGCAAACCAGCCUCAUUCCCAGACGGCGGCAAACUGCCCCGAGCCGCCCUUCGAUGUGAUAUCACCAUCGGAGGAGAAGCCGGCACCAUGGCCUGGGUCGAUCUCAUGCGGGGUAUCAUCCUAUGUGAUGUGCUCCCACUCGACGACGACGCCAAGACGCUUCGCUACAUCCCUCUGCCGGACCCCAUCCGGCCAGACGACACCAUCGACGAAUCUGGAGGCAUGUACCGGGACGUCGCCGUCGUCGGCAGCCGCAUCAAGUAUGCUGAGGUGAAGAUGCACGUCAGGCCGGGCUCGGCCGGCCCGAAAGGCUCCUUCACCAUCGAUGGCUGGACCGCCGUCGUAUGGAGCAGGCCGGCCAAUUCCUUCAAGGAGUCGACCACCUGGGGCAAGGACCAUGAGGUCCAUGCUCACCAGGUCUCUUUCGUUGACGGCAAAAACAAGACGGCGCCAGGCUUUGAGUUGCUCCCGGCUGUGGUGGAUCACCAGGGCAACCCGCAGCCGACCUUGGUGGGGAUCCACGUUGGCCAUCCCAAGCUCAGCCUGAGCGUCGGUGACAACACCCUUUACUUGAUGGCCAAGGUCAACCGCUGGUACGACAAAGCAUGGGUGAUCGCUGUCGACAUGAAGAACAAGAGGCUGCGGGGAGUGGCCGAGUUUGGUGGAGCACCAAGGUGCUCGGCGUUUCUCCAUGCCUAUAGGCAAAGCAGGAUCUCGGAGCAUCUCAAUGUCUCCCAAGGUACAAAGAGUCACCUGAAACGACCAGGGAUGCCACUGCCACAUGGAAGCUCUCACAAGAAGCCAGAGAUCCCUCCACAUCAUGUGAUGCAUCACUGUCCCAGUGGACAAAACCCCAGGGCGACAUGGCCCACAUUUCCCGCACAGACUAUUGAUGAUGAGGAUUAUGAUGAUGAUGAACGGACAAGGAUGGCAGACGACAUGGACUUGGAAUAA
rnacentral:rRNA from 1 species